GCGACGUCGUUUGUAAGGGAUGGGAUAAGAAUAUCAGCCGCUAACUCCGGCUGCUGGCUUUGUUUUUUGUCUUUGCCGGAAGCCAUGAAUGAUGAUGAGUGCUCGCCUGAGUAGCAAACCAUAAGUAAUAACAAGAUCUGAGUCCGAUUCUCCUUCAAGUGUUGGAUUCUUCACAAUCUUCCACACUAUGAUUGAGUACUUGACUUGCUAUGGGUAGGUAUGUACUCUUUCACUAUAUAGAACGAAAAUUUAUGAAGGGAAAGAGAAGGAGAUUUGAAUUCUAUAGAAGGAGAUUCUCAAGUUUCUAGUUGUCUGACAAAGUUAGAAAUAGGGGUGCACAAAAUAUGAGCCAAACCAUUCAACCCAGCCAACCCAAUUUAUUUUUUGUAGUAAAAGGUUAUGUUACUAAGAGUAGGCCAAGCUCAUUGGGUUAAAAAGUGAUGGACCAUAUAAUUAUGGUUGAUUAUGGGUUGGACACAUUUUAACUCUAUAUAACCCAAACCAACCCAUUUCUUGAAAGAUGUUUCAAAUUUGAGACAACUUUCAUACAUAAAAUAUCUUUUAGAUUCACAAAAUAUAUACAAAUAUAUAUAUAUAUAUUUUACGUUUUUAUACAUAAAUAAAUUAUAUUGUGAUAAUCUUAGAACACGAAUUAACCAAAACACAUCACUAACAUGUAGUCUAUAACUACCUUACUACUUCUACGAACAAGCCUAAUGUGAGAAUCAAUCACUAUUAUUAACUUUGCUACUCACACAAUGAUACCACUACUAUCUUAGUUUUUUUAAAGCACUAUAUUACACACACACAUACAUAUAUGUAUCAUUUUUUUUUUGUGUAUGCACUAGGUUGAAUAAUAUUAUCCUGUUUGUAACAUGAAUAUUAAAGUUUAAAAUAUUCAUUUUAACCUAAUGAACCCAACCCAACCCACCCCCUAUAUUAUUGUACUAAGUAGGGUUGGGUUGUACAAUAAAAAAAAUUGAAUGCUUUAUAGCUUAUUCAAACCGCAAUCAUUGGGUCAAUGGGUUGGCCUAUUAAGAUACCUCUAACCCAGCCAAACCAGCCCAUGUGCACCCCUAGUUAGAAACCUAGGUUAUUAGGUUGGAUGAGAAUGAGAGCCAUCUUAUUCCUUAUAUAGGAUUUCUCCUAGGGUUAGAUUUAAAUUAUAUGGAAUUAAAAAAAUAAAAAUUGGCUAAAAAUACUCUUAAGUGGUCGGCCAUACAAUGGGCCCUACUAGUUAGAAUUUUGCCAUUUUAUUCAAUAAUUUAUCUUUUCUUUCACUAAUGUCAUAUUUUUUAAUUUCAAUUAUUUAAAUGUCAAAACUAUUUAUUUAAUAAUUAAAAUUAAUUAUAAAAUAAAAUUGUCAUUUAACUAAUUUAUUAAUUAGACUUAAUAGAGUCGCUUAAUUAAUAAAUAAACCCUAAAAUCACUUUUCUUCACAAUUAAACUCUUGAUUAGUGAAAGUUCAUAAAUAAGAUAUAGUCUAAUUUUAGAAUUAUAAUUGUAAUCUUAAUUAUAUAGAACGCUCUAUAUAUUCCAAUAUAUAAAUACGCUAUGAAUUAUCCAUCGUUCUAAUCCAAAUAGUCAAAGAUCCUCUAUAGAUAAUUUACAUCGUGUUGACCUCGCUUUUGGCUAAAUUGUAAGCGACAAGUAGUAUAAUUGUGUGUGAUAUAAUAAAGUAAGUAAAUACACGACAAUUUUAUAGAGGUUCAGCCCCGAGCAGUUCGGUAAUAGCCUAAUCCUCUUAGUUUGUAUUGACUUAAGAACAAAGAAAAUAAUCCCUUUUCUUAGAGCUCUUACAAUAAUAUCUCUGAAUAUAAAUUCUUAGACAAGUUUUUCGACCCUUUGCCCAGUGAAUGUGCAACACUAUUUAUAGGGCUAUAAGCUUGGGAGGGAAGAAUUUCCCUUUAGAUUACAAUUGAUAUAAUUGGACAGAUUGCAUAUUAAAUACUGAAUACACUAAUCAAGGGAUUCGGACAGCUUGCCAUAUCUCUGUGAUCUGAUCCCAAAAUAACUCACGAUGCGAAAGUUGAAAUUGCUAAGUGUUGGCAUGCUGUUCGGAUUGUUCACUGCCCGGUUAAGAAGGCUUUGUUCGAGCGAAUAUAUGUGGUGCUCUGUUUGGCAUAUCUCUUGUGAGCAGGUACAUAAAGUUGAUUCCACGUGUCACCAUCGUAUGAUGCCACGUCAGAGUGCAAAAAUUGGGAUAACAUUUGCCUCCAAGUCUGUACGGGACUUCCGAAGUUGCGUGUAGAUUUCAUCCGAGCUGCCCUUGAAUUUGAAUGGGUGACACGUGUUAGACGCGUCUGUUCGCGAUUCGAUGUGAGGCUGACCAGGCGUCUCUUCAGUUUUCGGCUAAUUAUUGCUCUGACUUAAUUAAUGCUUCGAAAUUCAGUUUUCUCUCACCACGUUUGACGGUUACACUUGAUUAUGUUUGAUUCCCAAUAUUUGCUUUUGGGGGGAACCGAUGCGUCUAAGGCAUUUUGAAAUGAUUACCUUUUUUUCAUUUUUCUGCCUAUAAAUAGAACUGAGCAUCCUUCACAAAUUAACUUUUACCAAUUUCUCCAUUAAACAAACUCAGAGCAAAAAAGGUUUCCACUUCAAGUUUGUCGUGAGAUUUCUACCAAAAGCAUCCGAGCAGUUUCGUUUGGACUGCACUCAGACGUCGAAUAGUGAGUAAGUUUUCUGUUCCUUCUUCUUUUUACUUUGCAUGUUUAAUUUUUGGGUUUCAAAUAUGCGUUCUUGACCUUGCUGUAGAAGAUAGGUAGAAAAUCUAGGUUUAAAACUUCACGAUUUUCUUUGUAAUAAUCUGUAACACUUCGUGGUUCAUGACGUUGGCCUUUUGAUCACAUAUUGUCUGUCUUUCACCUUGCUUAUUCAAAGCUUUGUGAAGUUUUGCCCUAAACCCAAAAAUUUCAAACUUUUGUGUUUUGACUUAUUUUUGAAUAUUUUCAUUCUUUUAAUUUGUUGAGUACUCCUGGUCGGCAUAUUUGCUUGUUUAUUGUUUGAUAUCCCGACCAAACACUCAUCUUGUGUGUUGUCUUUUGUAGAUGAACCCUGGUGAGUUUUGGGGAAGCAAACACCGAAUAGACCAGGACUUGCUUCAACUUCUGUACGAGGAUCAUCCUCGACUUCAUGCCAGUCUGUCCUCUUCAAGUGACGGACCCUCCAAUUCAAGCUUUGAAGAUUGGGAGGUGAGUAGUGAACACUCUUUUACUCCAGAACCUGAAGUACAACACCACUACUACUCCGAGCAGAUCGUUGAAGAGGGAUACAGUCGCUUCAUUUGGGAGUUGAAGAAAUGUUGGAGGCGCUAUCUGCCAUCCACCUGGACAUACGUUGUCCGGCCAGGUGUUGCUGACACUUUGCUUGUUGGCCGUCCAAGUUCAGGGAACUUUGGUAUUCCCAUUACUGUUCCUAUUGUCACGGUAGCUCGGCAUUCACCCCAGUAUCCGUCCAGCUAUAGGAUGAUGGCUCAAACAAAGAAAAUGAUGCGUAGGGUCAACGCAUCCGAUCCUCACGUGGCCCAGCUCACCACACUGCCCAGAGCCAAGCAGGAUCCGCCCGUCCAGGAGGAGGGGGAUCGCGAAGGGGACAUUGAGGUCCAGGAGAUUGAAGAACAGGACGAUGUCCGUCCUGGCAGCCCCUUCGAGGUUGAGGAGGAUGAGGAGGCUAAACCUCCAAACUUUGGAGGAUACAAUGAGGCCGGGGAGCCAGUGUCCACAAAGGGCGAAGUCUUAGCCGAAGGGGUAGACUACGUCACCAAGGAGCUUAGUGCUGCAGUUCCUCACAAGAGGCAAGGUGCCUUAGGUGCCAGAUGGGUGAGUAAUCUGUCCAAAAUCACUAAGGCAUGCCUAAGGGAUUUGGACCAGUCUUGCUAUCUGGGCGAACUUGAAUGUUAUGUCUCUGCCUCAAAUCACCGAGCCACAAACCCGAAGAAGGGGAUGUGUGCCUGGUCGGGUGCUCAUACUAAACAAGGGGCAAUGCUGCCUUUGCACCCGUACUUCGAAGGUGGCAGAUUACUUCCGCCUCUGUCCGACCCAGUUUACUCCAAAUGGCAUUAAAUAUCUGUCUGCCCUGUUCGUCCUCUACGCCACCCAGAAGUGGGGUGUGCCUUCUCUGCAUGAGGUCUGUUGGUUUUUUUGACCUGAAGUCUACCCCCAAGCGAGGCAGGUCGAGGUACUUCUACUUCUCUCAGCCAGACUUCAAGUGGUUGACUGGCACCACGGACAAGGUCGUGAGCAAACUUAGGAAUUUUGUUGACGAGUAUUACUUUGUGGAAGGCAUGGGCACAACUUAUACUCGGUUUCAACAGAUCCCUAUAUAUUACCGUCCACCCCUCACAUUGGCUCUUAGGGACAGAGCUUAGAGGAUUGUUCAACUGUCGGAUGAUGCUCGGAAUAUCACUUUGUGGAGUACGGGCUUUAUCCAACAUAUUUCGUACCUCAGCCUUCGAAGGAGAAGAAGAGGAAGUCCAGUGCUGGCCCGGCUGAGGGAGGUGAGCAGGAGAAGGAACUCAUUCAACUCAAGUGUGAGGCUAAGUUGAAGGGAGGGGCCGGAGCCAAGUAGUAUGCUUAGGAGCAUUCUGAGUAGGAGAAGUAGCUUAUUCAACUUAAGCGUGAGGCUAAGUUGAAGGGAGGAGCUGGGGCCGAACAACAUGCUCAAGAAUAUUCUGAGCAGGAGGAUGAGGCUGAGGAAGAGCAAGAAAGACCGCUCAAAAGGAAGAAGAAACUUCUGGCCGGGCACAGGCCCAUCGAACAUACGAUCCAGAUCAAGGAGCCCGAUCUACCUGCUCGGCCAUCCACCCCUGUAGCAGGAAAGGGGAAAGCCGUCCUAGAGGAGCAAGAAGACUCGUCGAAUGAAGAUGCCCCAUCAGUGCUUGUUCGGGCAGAUGCCCCUGCCAAAGUACAUGUCUCAGAAAAUGCUCGACGCUUUGAAGAAGAGAGUGGUAGGAAGCUCGGGCUUAUCUCCUCCGGCCAAGAAGUCCAAGGGCGGUUAGACGGCCCUGUCUAGAGAGAAGGCACCAGUUGAAGUAGUCAUUAAUCUCUCUAAGGAACAAACUGUUGUGGACCCUCCUGUCUCAAAAAUGACUAAGUCCAAGGAUUCUCGAGGAUGUAGCUCGGACAGGCCAGAGCAAACGAGGGGCGCAUCCGAGCUGAUCAAGGCAAUAAUGCUCACUCACUAUGUGUCUCGAUCGGUCCCUGAGGUGAAAGAGCAGCUAGCUGGGGCAGACAAUGACCUUUCUCUGGAACUGGUGAUGGGAGGAGUUAUGAAGGAGCUUUCCAAGACCGGUCUGAAGAUGGCUUAUGCUUAUUCCCGAGCUAAGUUGGCUGCCUCUAAGAAUGCUGCCAUUUCCAACACUAUGCGGACGGAAGUGGACUUGGCCAGGAAGGAUAUCGAGGAGGCCCGGGUUCAGCUUGGGGCUGUUCGGAUAGAGCUAGGAGAGGUCAAUAAGAAACUUCUUGCUGCUGAGAAGAAAGUGGCCGAACUGACCAAAGAUCUACAAGCCACCGAUCAACUUGAAGCUGCCAUUGCGUCCUUAUCUAAGGAAGUGACCAGCCUUCAAGAAGAAAGGGAGGUUCUCCGGAGUGUUUUCCGUAGGUUGGAAGAAGAGAAGAAGACCAAGGAGGAGGAGCUUAGAGUUGAGGUUAAGAAGUAUAAGUCAGAGGUCGGGCAGCAGCGAUCCGAAGUGGAGAGACUCGGAGGGAAAAUGAAUGCCUUAGAGACAACUGGUCUCAAGAUUUUCUAUGACUUUUGGAAGGCCAAUCCCUAGGCGAAUUUUGAAUUAUACUUGGGCGAUUCCAAAGACAUGUUUCUCGAGUACUGCACUGCUCAGGCGGCCUACGGGGAAUUUGAGGCGACCACUCCCACCUCUUCAAUUAACCAAUGUGUUGAAGUGCGCCCCGCUCAAACAAAUGAUCCUCCAGCUCCAGCUGACCCAGCCGACCCGUACAAAGAGCCUAGGGCUUCAGCCGUUUGAAUGCUUUCUUUUUCUAUCUCUUUUUUUUAUCUGUUCGGCCAUAAGGCCUUUUUUUAAGACAAAGUGAAUGACCAAGCUGUCUUUAAACUUGGAACUUAUUUUUCAUUUUCAGAAAACUAGCUGACAGGGCAGCCUUUAAUCUCGGGUUUGCAUGCUUUUGUUAUCUUUAAUGAAUUUCAUUCUCUGUUUAUAAUCAUCAUGCAAUUCUGUUUGUUUUAUUUUUUACCAAAUGCUUUGUACAGGUAUAGGUGCCCCCCAAGUGACCGAGCAGACGUAUGACUCUUGGUCACUUUUUAUAUUUUUUGCAAGUGUGCUUUUUUGUCUGUUCGGGGUUUUGGGCUCGACCAAACCUUUUGUUCGCACUUUAUGGUAAAUUAAUAACAUGCUAAUAGGUUCGACUCAAUUUGAGUUUUGAAAUAAACAUUUUUAUUCAUUUAUUGAUCGGAAAUAUGUUUGUUACCGUAGUAACUUACAGCAAAGCUAUUAUACUGAUCUGACCUGGUCUUUAGCUUAACAUGAAAUAAAACAAAUUGCAAAAAUUGAAAAUUAUACUUCCAAUGGUGGUCAUCCGACCUGAGUACUUUGUAAUUUUAUCCGAACCUUUGGACAUGGCCCGCCCAGAAGGCCAUUCACUUAAGAGCAAAUGUUCUUUUGUUUCGUACUUGAUAUGGUCAUUCGACCUGGUACUUCUAUUGGUAGUAUUUCCUUAAAAUUUCCCCAUUCCAAUACCUUGGUACCAGAAUGAGUUGCAUUUUUUCAUCAUACUUACCCAAUUUGUACGCCCCUAAUUCUAGAACUUCGACCACCUGACAUGGUCCUUCCUAGUUAGGUCCGAGCACACCUACCGUACUGUCUUUGGUGUUUAAAAAUACUCUUCUUAGGACCAUAUCUCCCACAAAUAAUUUCUGAGCCUUCACUUGUUUGUUGAAAUACCGAGCUACUUUUUUCUGAUGGGCCAUCAGUUUUAAGUUUGAUGUGGUUCGCUUUUCUUCAAUUUUAUCAAGUGAUUCAGCAAGGGGUACAUGAUUGGCCUCUUGGCUAUAUAUCAAUCUUCUGUGGGAUGGUGGUUCGAGUUCUACGGGAAGCAUAACUUCAUAUCCAUAUGCCAUGGCGAAUGGAGUCUGUCCGGUUGCCGUUUUCUCAAUUGUUCAAUACGACCAUAGAACUUCCGAAAGUUCCUCCGGCCAGUUUCCUUUAGCAUCCUCAAGUCUUUAAUUUAGUGUAUCCUUCAAUGUCUUGUUGACUGCUUCAACUUGACCAUUUGCUUGGGGAUGUGCCACUGCGGAGAAACUUUUGAUAAUGCCAUGGUUUGCACGGAAAUCAGUAAAGGACUGGUUGUCAAACUGUUUGCCAUUGUCCAAAACUAUUUUGUACGGCAAUCCGAACUGGCAGAUUAUGUUCUUCACAAUGAAGUCUUGCACUUUUUUGGACGUAAUGGUUGCUAAUGGUUCGACUUCUGUCCACUUGGUGAAGUAAUCAACCGCGACCACUGCAUACUGCACGCCACCUUUACCCUUGGGCAAUUGUCCAAUUAGGUCAAUUUCCCAAAUGGCGAAAGGCCAAGGACUUUGCAUCUGAGUUAACUCAUUGGGCAGUGCUCGAGGUAUCUUCAAAAAUCUCUGGCAUUUAUCACAUCUUUUAACAUAGGCCUUUGAAUCUUCAAUCAUUGUCGGCCAUAAAUAACCUUGCCUUAGAAUUUUCUUAAAUAAACUCUUCGGUAGCGUGGUUUCCACAAAAUCCAUCGUGUACUUCAGACAAAAGUCGUACAGCUUCUUCUUGGGCAACACACCUGAGCGGUGGCAUGAAAAAUCCUCGUGUAUACAUAAUUCCCUCUACUAUGAUGUACUGUGCAACCUUCCUUCUCAUCUUUCGAGCUUUAUUUCGAGUAUCUGAGAGUUCCCCAGUGUUGAGGUAGGUUGUUAUUGGCGUCAUCCAAUUUGGAGAUGUAUCAAUCAUUUCAAUCUCUAUUGUGCCAGUGAUGUUAGGUUCUUCGAGAAAUUGAAUAGGAAUCAGAUUUCCUCUAUCAUUUACAUUAUUACUCGCAAGCUGAGCCAAUGCGUCACCAGUCGUGUUUUCUUCCCUUAGAAUUCACCUGAGAGCAUAGCUUUUGAACUGUGCGAGCAGAUUGUGUAUAUGGCUCAGAUAUGCUAUCAUCUGUUCCCCCCGAGCCUCGUAUUCCCCAAAUACAUGAUUUACCACCAGCUAUGAAUCAUUGUAAAUCUCAAUAUGUUCGACCUUCAUCUCCCGGGCUAGUUUUAGACCGGCAAUCAAAGCUUCAUAUUCAGCCUCAUUAUUGGAUGCCUUAAAUCCAAAUUUGACUACAGCGUGCAGGUGUUGCCCCCAGGUGUGACAAGGGUGAUUCCUGCACCGGAUAGUAAAUUUGUAGACGACCGUCCACAUGUAGUUUCCAAGUCGGCUUGUAUUCACUGUUACUUGACUGAGGUAUUUGUUCUGGCUCGGGGUUAUUUUCUGAUACGCUUUCUUCCUUUCCCGUGCAUUCUACUACAAAGUCUGCUAAGGCCUGGCCCUUGAUUGUUGUUCAGGGUUGGAAGACAAUCUCAUAUUGGCCCAACUCCAAUUCCCAUUUGAGUGACCAUCCAGAGGCAUCCCGUUUUUUCAAUAUUUGGCGUAACGGUUGGUCAGUGUAUACCCGAACAGGGUGAGCUUGAAAGUUGGGUAUUAGCUUUCUUGUUGCUAGAAUCAGGUAGUAAGUGAGUUUCUCUAUCAAUGGAUAUCGGCCUUCAGCCUCAAUGAGUCUUUUACUGAUGUAAUAGAUCAGAUGUUGAAUGUUGUUUUGCUCUCUGAUCAACACGGCACUUACAGCAUGCUCUUCGAUAGCCAGGUACAUCCCAAGUUCUUCUCUGUAUAGAGGUUUUGAGAGUACAUGAGGUUUUGCGAGUUGCAUUUUUAGCUCUAUAAAAGCUUUUUCACAUUCCUCCGUCCACUUAAAUUGUUUAUUUCCUCGCAGGAUGUUGAAGAAUGGAACACACUUGUCUGUUGAUUUUGAAACAAAUCUUCUUAGUGCGGAAAUCCGACCAGUCAAACUUUGAACUUCCUUGGUUCUUGUUGGCGAUUUCAUAUCCAGGAGGGCUUGAAUCUUCUCUGGAUUGGCUUCAAUUCCUCGGGCGUUGACGAUAAAGCCUAGAAACUUACCUGAGCUGACUCCAAAGGAGCAAUUUUGUAACGCCCUAAAUAAUUAGGCACGCUACCCAAAAUACUUAUGAAACCCUAAUCAUCUAAUCAGGAUUACUAAUCAAAAUAGCGCAGAAUUUAAACUUUUAUAUUAAACAGAAUGAAAAUACACUUGUAAUAUAUUUAAACUUUUUAAAAUAGUUGGGAUCCCAAAAAUCUUUAGAAACUCUAUUACAAGUCAUUUCUUUCUAGCCGACCUAAACGGCAAAAUGAAAUUCAAAAGUUCAUCACAGGUAGACCCUUAACCCGCUUGGUCUGAUAGGGCUCGAACAUGUACAUUCUUCGCCCUGCUCCUGAAACUCAUGGCUGAUCAGCUAAUGCCUUACCCUUUCCUGCAUAGUAGAGCACCCGUGAGCCAAGCCCAACAAGACAGUAUAAAUCAUAGCAAAUAUAAUAUGCUCAUCAUACUAUUUAAUAGAUAUGCCAUUCACAUAUGUCUGUAUAACACAGACUUGCUUAUUAUACCAACAUGCCCAUUUAUGUCUACGUGGCGUAGACCUAUGUGUUGCGCUCAUUUAAUCUACAUGACGUAGACCCACGUGUUGCUCUCAAACGUCUAAAUACAUUAAGGCCUUAGAAUUGGUUCAUCUCGGUUAUGGUUACCGAGUCCAACCUGAUUAUGCCUUGAACACAUAAUCCCUAAAUCUCAUUUCAAGUAACAUGGCAUGGCAUUUAUACACAUAUAUCACUAGGGUAAUAACCCUAGCCUAUUAGACCGUUCCUAUUAGGGUAAUAACCCUAAUCCCAGUCACUAAACAUUCAUGCAUAUCACUCUCAAUAUAAGCGCCACUGCGCAUACUCUACGUGCUAAUCACUGUCUUACAUGUUGUCCAGCAAUAGAAAGAUAUUCCGAAUACGCGGGUGCUCCUGAUCAGGUGCUGGUAAUCAUAGUCACACAAAUCCGGGAUCUUCCUACUUAGGGUUAACCCCUAGUUCCAUACUCAUAAAAUUCGAUCAUGGCAUUUAAAUUUCAGAUAAUCAUACAGAGCUCGGAACGAGCUUUCCAACGAUAUAAAGAACUCCCAAAUCGGAGUUCGGAAUCAAAAGUUACAAAUUUUCGAAAAUCAACUCGAAACUGCCCAAAAACACGAGGGCGGGCCGCGUCAUGCCCAAACCAUGCGGCGGCACCUGGGACCAAUUCCCAGGUCCACUCAGAGGAGCGGGCCGCGGCAUCUGGGUGCAGAACCCAAAAAACCAGCAGCUCAACACGAUUUUUCAGCAACAAAAAUCCAAUCAUUUCAUCCCAAAACUCAACCAAACAUACAAGUUACCAAAUAUUGAUGCUAACAAUUAACAAGAAAUUAAAACUCAUACAUCCAACACCAAUUCCAGCAGUAACUCAGCAUUUCAGAUUGCAUAAAUAUCACAAAGAAACCAAGUUUUAACUAAGCAAUCAUCAAGCUCAAGAGCUUGAGUUUAACUCACUCAAUUCAAAUAAUUUUCAGCAGCAACAACCUUAAAAACACCUCCAAAAUCUCAGCUAAAGCUUAAUUAAAAUACUAAGCAUCAUACAAACAAAGAUUUAUACAAUAACAUGCUCAAAUUAACUCAAGAACACAAACAUGCAAUUAUAAGAUCAAACCACUUUUCCAAGCUUUUUCCAACAUAAAAUUCAGCAAGAGAAUUCAAUUAAAAAUUUGAAAAAGCUACCUCAAUUCCUUCACAAUCUAGUUCCAAGCCUCCAAACAAAACUUCACAACAGUUAAGCUUGAUUCAAGCAAGCUCCCAAGUAAUUUUUCUCAAUUUGAACUAGGUGUGAGAGAGAGAGAGAGAGAGAGAGAGAGAGAGAGAGAGAG